rnacentral:rRNA from 1 species
UACGUAGGGUGCAAGCGUUAAUCGGAAUUACUGGGCGUAAAGCGUGCGUAGGCGGUUUUGUAAGACAGGCGUGAAAUCCCCGGGCUCAACCUGGGAAUUGCGCUUGUGACUGCAAAGCUGGAGUGCGGCAGAGGGGGAUGGAAUUCCGCGUGUAGCAGUGAAAUGCGUAGAUAUGCGGAGGAACACCGAUGGCGAAGGCAAUCCCCUGGGCCUGCACUGACGCUCAUGCACGAAAGCGUGGGGAGCAAACAGG